UCUGCUGUGUCAUAUGUUAGUUACUUGUGUCUCAGCUGGGUUGAUUUUCUUGUUGACUUCUCAUCGCUAGGAGUUAGAACAACCUUUGUUCUCAGCUGGUUAUGUCGCCUGCAGGUGUUCAUAUGACAAGGAAUUUACCUCGGCGCCGCUGUCAGGAGCUCCUCGAUAUUGGCAUCCAACGGUUGCUGUUCCGGUGGUGAAGCUGCUGCCGGCGUCCACGUCACUGACCUGCUGCUUCUGCCUGGUUUAAAUCAUUUUGGAGAAGGAGCUGAAAGGUGAGAAGUGGGUGUACCGGGAUGCGCUAUCGGUGGGGAACCAGGAGGAGGAGGCGCGGGAG